ACACCCGUUCCCAUACCGAACACGGAAGUUAAGCUUCUCAGCGCCGAUGGUAGUUGGGACACGCGUCCCUGUGAGAGUAGGACGCUGCCAGGC
rnacentral:rRNA from 1 species